UUAAGUGGUUGAUUUUAAUUGUUUUAAACUUGGUAGCUUGCAAUCGAGAGUUCGAAUCUCUCACUCACCGCCA
rnacentral:tRNA from 1 species